GUGCACCAGGCGCGAAUACUUCACACUGUGCGAAAGCACGAUGAGGGAAUCCCAAGUGCUUGCACGUAAGUGUAAGCUGUUUCUCUGUUUAAAACGCAGAGAGAGUAAGGGCUGGGUAAGACGGGUGCCAGCCGCCGCGGUAAUACCUGCAGCUCAAGUGGUGGCCGUUAUUAUUGGGCCUAAACGUCCGUAGCCGGUUUAAUAAAAUGCCUGGGUAAAUCGUGUA
rnacentral:rRNA from 1 species